rnacentral:rRNA from 1 species
UACGAAGGGGGCUAGCGUUGCUCGGAAUCACUGGGCGUAAAGCGCGUGUAGGCGGCUUUGCAAGUCGGGUGUGAAAGCCCUCGGCUCAACCGAGGAAGUGCGCCCGAAACUGCAGAGCUUGAGUACCGGAGAGGAUGGCGGAAUUCCCCAAGUAGAGGUGAAAUUCGUAGAUAUGGGGAGGAACACCGGUGGCGAAGGCGGCCAUCUGGACGGAUACUGACGCUGAGACGCGAAAGCGUGGGUAGCAAACAGG